rnacentral:precursor_RNA from 1 species
CACACCAAACGGUGUCUGGUCAGGUUCUUAUUCCCUGACCAGACUCGUUUUGGUUGAG